rnacentral:lncRNA from 1 species
UAUUGAGAUUUUGAAAAAUUUUCAAAGUUAGUUAUGUUUUUGAUAGAAUUAAGAUUUAAAAAAUAAAAAUAUUUUUACAAAUUUGAGGGUUUCUUAAGUUUUGUAGUAUAUGUAUAAGUGAAAUUUAGAUAGUGUAUUGGUGUGAUAGUUGUAAAUGUGUAUACAAAUUUUGACGCCAAUCAAACAAUUAGAUUGAAGUGAAUGAAGGUUUUUGUGGAUUGAGGUCUUAGAAAUUGGAGUUUGAAGGUUAGUGAGUGUUCUUAAGAUCUUCAGCAAUUUAUCAAUUAGAUUGAAGUGAAAUUAUUUUAUAUAGAAAAUAGAUUUGAUUUUUAAUAUUUAGAUGAAAUUUGAAAAUAAUUCACUAGUUCAAGAAGGAGAUAUUUGCACUAGAAGUUGAGUAUUCAGGUUAGAGUAGGAGGCUGCCCAAUAUCUAAUUGAAUUAUUUAGCAUUUCUCUCAAUUGGUAAGUGCAAUUGAUUUUAUCUUUCUUGUGGUUGUUUCUUACAAAGACAUUAAGAAGUGUGCAAAAUUUUGAAUUGAUAUCAAUGGUUUGAUCAUUAGUUGUUGAAGUUCCAUUUUGCUAUAGGAUUUAUUAAGAGUAUAUUUAAAAUCUAGGAUUUGAUUAGAAUUUGGUUUAGGAUUUGGUCUAAGAUUUGAUUAGAAUUAGAAUUUUUUUAAGAUUUGGUUUGGAACUUAUGUAGAAUUUAUUUAGGAUUUAGGAUUUGAUUAAGAUUUCAAUAGGAUUUGAUUUAGAAUUUGAUUAAAAUUUAGUUAGGAUUUUAAUUAAGGUUACAUUAAUUUUUUUAUUUUUAUUAUUUUUUUAGGAUUCUUUUUAUUUCUUUUAUGACUUUUUUUUAUAUUUAUUUUGAUAAUUUAAAGUUUGAUUGGAUUAUUAGGGAUUACUUGAAGUUUAUUUAAGAUUCUAUUAGACUUAAUUGAAUUGUUGCUGCAUUGUUAUUUAUCUUCCAUAGUUAGAUGCUUCAUACAUUUUAAAAUAAGAAUAUACGUAAUACAACAUAAUUGAUAAAUUUGACAUAAAAAUCUUAAGAUAGAAGGUGUUUGGAAUUGUUUUUAAUUUAUUUGAAUUAUAAAAAAA